rnacentral:rRNA from 1 species
GAAGAGCAUUUGAAACAGCAAGACUUGAGUACAGGAGAGGAAAGCGGAAUUCCUGGUGUAGAGGUGAAAUUCGUAGAUAUCAGGAGGAACACCCAUGGCGAAGGCAGCUUUCUGGACUGAUACUGACGCUGAGGCGCGAAGGUGUGGGUAGCGAACAGGAUUAGAUACCCUGGUAGUCCACACAGUAAACGAUGUUCACUAGGUGUAGCGGAUAGUAAAAUCUGCUGUGCCGGAGCUAACGCAUUAAGUGAACCGCCUGGGGAGUACGGUCGCAAGAUUAAAACUCAAAGGAAUUGACGGGGGCCCGCACAAGCGGUGGAGCAUGUGGUUUAAUUCGACGCAACGCGAAGAACCUUACCUGGGUUUGACAUCCUGUGAAUCCCGGAGAGAUCG